rnacentral:rRNA from 1 species
CGUAGGGGGCUAGCGUUGUCCGGAAUCAUUGGGCGUAAAGCGCGCGUAGGCGGCCCGGUAAGUCCGCUCUGAAAGUCCAGGGCUCAACCCUGGGAAGCGGGUGGAUACUGCCGGGCUAGAAUCCGGAAGAGGCGAGUGGAAUUCCUGGUGUAGCGGUGGAAUGCGCAGAUAUCAGGAGGAACACCAAUAGCGAAGGCAGCUCGCUGGGACGGUAUUGACGCUGAGGCGCGAAAGCGUGGGGAGCAAACAGGAUUAGAUACCCUGGUAGUCCACGCCGUAAACGAUGGGCACUAGGUGUGGGAGGUGUCGACUCCUCCCGUGCCGACGCUAACGCAUUAAGUGCCCCGCCUGGGGAGUACGGCCGCAAGGCUA